rnacentral:rRNA from 1 species
GACGAACGCUGGCGGCGUGCUUAACACAUGCAAGUCGAACGGAAAGGCCCUGCUUGCAGGGUACUCGAGUGGCGAACGGGUGAGUAACACGUGGGUGAUCUGCCCUGCACUUCGGGAUAAGCCUGGGAAACUGGGUCUAAUACCGGAUAGGAGCCAUUUUUAGUGUGAUGGUUGGAAAGUUUUUUCGGUGUAGGAUGAGCUCGCGGCCUAUCAGCUUGUUGGUGGGGUAAUGGCCUACCAAGGCGGCGACGGGUAGCCGGCCUGAGAGGGUGGACGGCCACAUUGGGACUGAGAUACGGCCCAGACUCCUACGGGAGGCAGCAGUGGGGAAUAUUGCACAAUGGGCGCAAGCCUGAUGCAGCGACGCCGCGUGGGGAUGACGGCCUUCGGGUUGUAAACUCCUUUCGCUAGGGACGAAGCUUUUUGUGACGGUACCUAGAUAAGAAGCACCGGCUAACUACGUG